rnacentral:rRNA from 1 species
CAGUAGCCGCGGUAAUACGGAGGGUGCAAGCGUUAUCCGGAUUUAUUGGGUUUAAAGGGUCCGUAGGCGGACUUAUAAGUCAGUGGUGAAAGCCUGUCGCUUAACGAUAGAACUGCCAUUGAUACUGUAAGUCUUGAGUAUAUUUGAGGUAGCUGGAAAAAGUAGUGUAGCGGUGAAAUGCAUAGAUAUUACUUAGAACACCAAUUGCGAAGGCAGGUUACCAAGAUAUAACUGACGCUGAGGGACGAAAGCGUGGGUAGCGAACAGGAUUAGAGACCCCGGUAGUCCCUGUCUCUUAUAA